rnacentral:rRNA from 1 species
CUCCAAGGCUAAAUACUCCUGACUGACCGAUAGUGAACCAGUACCGUGAGGGAAAGGCGAAAAGAACCCCGGCGAGGGGAGUGAAAAAGAACCUGAAACCGUGUACGUACAAGCAGUAGGAGCCCCACCACCAAAGCGUUUCGCUUUGCGUGGUGCGCAAAAUGCGUAACGACAGCAUGAUGGACGGUUAACGGAGCGUCAGCGACGUUCAACGUCAAAAAUCAGGCAGUGGAGCGUUUUGGGGUGGGGUGACUGCGUACCUUUUGUAUAAUGGGUCAGCGACUUAUAUUCUGUAGCAAGGUUAACCGAAUAGGGGAGCCGCAGGGAAACCGAGUCUUAACUGGGCGUUAAGUUGCAGGGUAUAGACCCGAAACCCGGUGAUCUAGCCAUGGGCAGGUUGAAGGUUGGGUAACACUAACUGGAGGACCGAACCGACUAAUGUUGAAAAAUUAGCGGAUGACUUGUGGCUGGGGGUGAAAGGCCAAUCAAACCGGGAGAUAGCUGGUUCUCCCCGAAAGCUAUUUAGGUAGCGCCUCGUGAAUUCAUCUUCGGGGGUAGAGCACUGUUUCGGCUAGGGGGUCAUCCCGACUUACCAACCCGAUGCAAACUACGAAUACCGAAGAAUGUUAUCACGGGAGACACACGGCGGGUGCUAACGUCCGUCGUGAAGAGGGAAACAACCCAGACCGCCAGCUAAGGUCCCAAAGUCAUGGUUAAGUGGGAAACGAUGUGGGAAGGCCCAGACAGCCAGGAUGUUGGCUUAGAAGCAGCCAUCAUUUAAAGAAAGCGUAAUAGCUCACUGGUCGAGUCGGCCUGCGCGGAAGAUGUAACGGGGCUAAACCAUGCACCGAAGCUGCGGCAGCGACGCUUAUGCGUUGUUGGGUAGGGGAGCGUUCUGUAAGCCGUUGAAGGUGGCCUGUGAGGGUUGCUGGAGGUAUCAGAAGUGCGAAUGCUGACAUAAGUAACGAUAAUGCGGGUGAAAAACCCGCACGCCGGAAGACCAAGGGUUCCUGUCCAACGUUAAUCGGGGCAGGGUGAGUCGACCCCUAAGGCGAGGCCGAAAGGCGUAGUCGAUGGGAAACAGGUUAAUAUUCCUGUACUUGGUGUUACUGCGAAGGGGGGACGGAGAAGGCUAUGUUGGCCGGGCGACGGUUGUCCCGGUUUAAGCAUGUAGGCGGAUGUUCCAGGUAAAUCCGGAACGUCACUAACGCUGAGGUGUGAUGACGAGGCACUACGGUGCUGAAGUGACAAAUGCCCUGCUUCCAGGAAAAGCCUCUAAGCAUCAGGUAACAUCAAAUCGUACCCCAAACCGACACAGGUGGUCAGGUAGAGAAUACCAAGGCGCUUGAGAGAACUCGGGUGAAGGAACUAGGCAAAAUGGUGCCGUAACUUCGGGAGAAGGCACGCUGAUGGUAGGUGAAGUGACUUGCUCACGGAGCUGAAAUCAGUCGAAGAUACCAGCUGGCUGCAACUGUUUAUUAAAAACACAGCACUGUGCAAACACGAAAGUGGACGUAUACGGUGUGACGCCUGCCCGGUGCCGGAAGGUUAAUUGAUGGGGUUAUCCUC